GGACGAACGCUGGCGGCGUGCCUAAUACAUGCAAGUCGAACGAGCUCUCCUAAAUUGAUUUUAUGCUUGCAUAAAUGAUUUUUAGAUUCGGAGCGAGUGGCGAACUGGUGAGUAACACGUGGGUAACCUGCCCCGAAGCGGGGGAUAACAUUUGGAAACAAAUGCUAAUACCGCAUAAUUAGUUGGAACCGCAUGGUUCCAACUUGAAAGAUGGCUCUGCUAUCACUUUGGGAUGGACCCGCGCCGUAUUAGUUAGUUGGUGAGAUAAAAGCCCACCAAGACGAUGAUACGUAGCCGACCUGAGAGGGUAAUCGGCCACAUUGGGACUGAGACACGGCCCAGACUCCUACGGGAGGCAGCAGUAGGGAAUCUUCCACAAUGGACGAAAGUCUGAUGGAGCAACGCCGCGUGAGUGAUGAAGGUUUUCGGAUCGUAAAACUCUGUUGUUAAAGAAGAACAAGUGUUAGAGUAACUGUUAACACUUUGACGGUAUUUAACCAGAAAGCCACGGCUAACUACGUGCCAGCAGCCGCGGUAAUACGUAGGUGGCAAGCGUUGUCCGGAUUUAUUGGGCGUAAAGCGAGCGCAGGCGGUUUUGUAAGUCUGCUGUGAAAGCCCUCAGCUCAACUGAGGAAGUGCAGUGGAAACUACAAAACUUGAGUACAGAAGAGGAAAGUGGAACUCCAUGUGUAGCGGUGAAAUGCGUAGAUAUAUGGAAGAACACCAGUGGCGAAGGGCGGCUUUCUGGUCUGUUACUGACGCUGAGGCUCGAAAGCAUGGGUAGCGAACAGGAUUAGAUACCCUGGUAGUCCAUGCCGUAAACGAUGAAUACUAGGUGUUGGAGGGUUUCCGCCCUUCAGUGCCGCAGCUAACGCAUUAAGUAUUCCGCCUGGGGAGUACGACCGCAAGGUUGAAACUCAAAGGAAUUGACGGGGGCCCGCACAAGUGGUGGAGCAUGUGGUUUAAUUCGAUGCUACGCGAAGAACCUUACCAGCUCUUGACAUCUUCUGCCAACCCAAGAGAUUGGGCGUUCCCUUCGGGGACAGAAUGACAGGUGGUGCAUGGUUGUCGUCAGCUCGUGUCGUGAGAUGUUGGGUUAAGUCCCGCAACGAGCGCAACCCUUAUUAUUAGUUGCCAGCAUUUAGUUGGGCACUCUAGUGAGACUGCCGGUGAUAAACCGGAGGAAGGUGGGGACGACGUCAAAUCAUCAUGCCCCUUAUGAGCUGGGCUACACACGUGCUACAAUGGAUGGUACAACGAGUCGCGAAACCGCGAGGUCAAGCUAAUCUCUUAAAGCCAUUCUCAGUUCGGAUUGCAGGCUGCAACUCGCCUGCAUGAAGUUGGAAUCACUAGUAAUCGUGGAUCAGCAUGCCACGGUGAAUACGUUCCCGGGCCUUGUACACACCGC
rnacentral:rRNA from 1 species